UCAUCCUUACAAUACUACAUCGGCCUCUGAGUUGACAUAUAAUCACAAAAGGGACAAAACAAAUACCUAUAUAACAAUAGGAUCAUAAAUUAAUAUUUAUAUCCAAUGAUCAAUUCCAACAGGAAGAUAGUAAGACGAGACAGACGAAGUGUAAAGUGUAAACUCCCCUCCGUGGCCCACAACAACUAAUAGAUAAUGACCCAUUCGCUCUUUUGUUUCUAAAUAUCUGCAAAUCAAAUGGAUAAGGUGCAUUCAGUCAGAGGUUCACAAACACUUCACCCCUUCUCAUAGUUAACUCACUACUCCAGUUUGCUCCCAACAAACUGGAGCAAAAAUUCGAAGAAUGAUUCAUCUAAAAGCAAUUCACUCCCCUUUGACACCAAAGCAACAUGCUCUUUUUAUAGAAAUGGCCAAUUCCGAAGGAAAAAACACCCCAUUCUCUGCCUCUGCAAACCGAAUGAUUCAGAUUCAGACGCUCCUCCACCUCCGCCUCAAGGAGACAGCCGUCAGCAGGAACUACUUGCGAGGAUUGCCCAGCUUCAAACUCAGAAAGUUCGGCUUACCAACUACUUAGACGAAAGAUCUGCUUACCUGUCCCAGUUUGCUGAAGAUGCCAAUGCCGAGAUUGACCAGAUAGGGGAAAAUGCCCUCAAAGAGCUUGAUGAAGCUGGUGCAAGGGUCUGCACUCAACUGCAUAACCAAAUCAUACAGAAAGUGGAGUUCAGUUUUCAUCUCUCAAUUACACAGUUCUUGAUUUGUUCUUUUUUUCUUUCUUUGUGGAACAGAUAAUGGAAAAUAUAGAGAGCCGGAUGCAAGCUUUUGAAGAAUCAAUAGAGUUAAACAAACAGGAGAUAGAGGAGAACGAGAAGAAGUUGGCGGACUUUGAGGGCCAAAUGGAGGAAGAGAGAAAUGAAGGGCUUCUCUUCAAGAACUUAGGGCAAAAACAAUAAGUGGAUAAAGCAAAAGCUAAGGAGGAAACUGACAAGAUUAAGCAAACUCAGUAAAGAAACUGCUGAGUCAAAGACUAGAAGGAAUAUCUACCUUGCACUUAUCGGUGUUGUAGUAGUUGGAAUUACGAGUGCCUUAAUCUCUUCACCUUCUGACAGGACAAAGAGUGCAGUUCUUGGAGCGAUCUUGGUG
rnacentral:lncRNA from 1 species